ACGAAGAGGUAUCGUAAUUGAAGAGGUUUGGAAAGACCCACCACAGAAGGUAAUAGUCCUGUAUGUUAAACGAGAAGACUUCAGAUAUGAUCCAGAGUACCACGGGACACGUGAAACCCUGUGGGAAGCAGGAGGGACCACCCUCCAAGGCUAAAUACUACCUAGUGACCGAUAGCGUAUAGUACCGUGAGGGAAAGGUGAAAAGAACCCCGGGAGGGGAGUGAAAUAGAACCUGAAACCCUGCACUUACAAGCUGUGGAAGCACAUUUCUUGUGUGACCGCGUACUUUUUGUAGAACGGGCCAACGAGUUACGUUAAGUAGCAAGGUUAAGCACUUAAGGUGCGGAGCCGUAGCGAAAGCGAGUUUUAACUGAGCGUUCAGUUACUUGACGUAGACCCGAAACCGGGCGACCUACCCAUGAGCAGGAUGAAGCGAAAGUAAAAUUUCGUGGAGGUCCGAACCCACGAGCGUUGAAAAGCUCGGGGAUGACUUGUGGGUAGCGGUGAAAUUCCAAUCGAGCCCGGAGAUAGCUGGUUCUCCCCGAAAUAGCUUUAGGGCUAGCCUCAAGGUGAGAGAUACGGAGGUAGAGCACUGAAUGUCCUAGGGGGUAUUGCACCUACCGAAGACUAUCAAACUCCGAAUGCCGUCAUCUUAUACUUGGGAGUCAGACUGUGGGUGAUAAGAUUCAUAGUCGAAAGGGCAACAGCCCAGAUCGUCAGCUAAGGUCCCUAAAUGUAAGUUAAGUGGUAAAGGAUGUGGGAUUGCACAGACAACCAGGAUGUUGGCUUAGAAGCAGCCACUCAUUCAAAGAGUGCGUAAUAGCUCACUGGUCGAGUGAUC
rnacentral:rRNA from 1 species